CACUUUUACCACUAAACUAUACCCGCUACAUGUAAAUUAUGAUACCAACGCUACCCUUUGUCAAGGGUAGCCAUUCGAGAAAGAUGCUAAUUCCCUCUUAGUGAAUGAAACAGAGAAGGUUCCUGACAGUGAACGGUUGGUACUUCGAUCGCGGGCCUUUCCUUUACUUUAAGAUUUCGACAGUUCCUGGUCUGUAAAAUAAACCGCUUCUUACCACCCCAAUAGCGUCUGAACCAAAUGUAUGCAUUUCAAUUGUAGUCGUAUUCUACGAUUACGACUACAAUGAUCAUUAUUUGCUUUGCGAAGACGUAAGUGUUCCAGACUGCUGUAAGGAAUAGUUUGAUUAUUCCUACAAUAUACAUUAGGAAAUAUAGGGGCACCGCAGCCCCAAAAAUUCCUUUCUUCCCCCACUUAUCAUGAAAUCUGGGCCAUAGAGAAAGAGUGAGAUGAUUUUUUUUUAUUUAUCAUAGACUUUCCCUAUGGCUUGAGAGAAACAAUAAAUAACUUAAAGAAAAAGGCGCAUAGGAGCCAAAGGAUUUACCUAAUGUAAAGAAGAUUCUGAAU
rnacentral:lncRNA from 1 species